UGGUGACUAUAGCAAGGAGGUCACACCUGUUCCCAUGCCGAACACAGAAGUUAAGCUCCUUAGCGUCGAUGGUAGUCGAAACCCGUCAUUCUCCACCAUUUAUUCUUACAUAUUGCCGGCCUAGCUCAAUUGGUAGAGCAACUGACUUGUAAUC
rnacentral:rRNA from 1 species